rnacentral:piRNA from 1 species
UCAGGAGUGUCCCCACUGAGACCUAAUCUGU